AUAUUUAUCUGGACGAGGUCGAUGGAUGAUCAAGAAGGUCUAUGGUCUAGGGAAGUGACUUUCAUUGCAUAUAGAAAGAGUGCUUCUUUGAAGUCUGUCCAAGUGACCGAGCUUAUGUCAUAAUUUGUUGCAGAGGCGGACCUGCUUCCGCGUGGUCCCUUU
rnacentral:snRNA from 1 species